rnacentral:rRNA from 1 species
UACGUAGGGGGCAAGCGUUGUCCGGAUUUAUUGGGCGUAAAGAGCGUGUAGGCGGCCAGACAAGUCUGCUGUGAAAACUCGAGGCUCAACCUCGAGCUGUCGGCGGAAACUGUCUGGCUAGAGUCCGGAAGAGGAGAGUGGAAUUCCUGGUGUAGCGGUGAAAUGCGCAGAUAUCAGGAAGAACACCUAUGGCGAAGGCAGCUCUCUGGGACGGUACUGACGCUGAGUGAGCGAAAGCCAGGGGAGCAAACGGG